rnacentral:misc_RNA from 1 species
AAAAUCUAACUUUUGAGGCUAGCAUCUCUUGACUCUUUUGGGGUCUAGGAUCUAGUUUUCAUCAACCCACCUUUGUGAACUGUUUUCUGUAUUUUGGACGUGGGUUAGUGUUAGUCGUAAGACAAAGCACUUGGAAGCGGGCCUUUGGGCUCGACCCGUCCAACGGGACUUGAGAUCUCGAUCUCCUGGCCCAACCCUUUAAGCCUAUAAUUUUGAAAAACUUUGUCUAGAAUUUUUUGGAUCUAUUUUAAGAUAAAAAAAAAA